rnacentral:rRNA from 1 species
UACGUAGGGGGCAAGCGUUGUCCGGAUUUAUUGGGCGUAAAGAGCGUGUAGGCGGCCAUACAGGUCAGCUGUGAAAACUCGAGGCUCAACCUCGAGACGUCGGUUGAAACCGUAUGGCUAGAGUCCGGAAGAGGAGAGUGGAAUUCCCGGUGUAGCGGUGAAAUGCGCAGAUAUCGGGAAGAACACCCGUGGCGAGGGCGGCUCUCUGGGACGGUACUGACGCUGAGACGCGAAAGCGUGGGGAGCGAACAGG